rnacentral:rRNA from 2 species
CCCAGACAGCCAGGAUGUUGGCUUAGAAGCAGCCAUCAUUUAAAGAAAGCGUAAUAGCUCACUGGUCGAGUCGGCCUGCGCGGAAGAUGUAACGGGGCUAAACCAUGCACCGAAGCUGCGGCAGCGAACGUAUCACCCAAGACAACUUUACGGAGUUGACGAUUGACGGAGCGAAGCGACGUCAAAGCGUUCAUUAAAGUCGAGUUGGCUUAGGGAUACGUUCGUUGGGUAGGGGAGCGUUCUGUAAGCCUGUGAAGGUGUGUCGUGAGGCAUGCUGGAGGUAUCAGAAGUGCGAAUGCUGACAUAAGUAACGAUAAAGCGGGUGAAAAGCCCGCUCGCCGGAAGACCAAGGGUUCCUGUCCAACGUUAAUCGGGGCAGGGUGAGUCGACCCCUAAGGCGAGGCCGAAAGGCGUAGUCGAUGGGAAACGGGUUAAUAUUCCCGUACUUGGUGUUACUGCGAAGGGGGGACGGAGAAGGCUAUGUUGGCCGGGCGACGGUUGUCCCGGUUUAAGCGUGUAGGUGUGUGUUCCAGGUAAAUCCGGUUCACUUUAACACUGAGGCGUGACGACGAGGCACUACGGUGCUGAAGCAACAAAUGCCCUGCUUCCAGGAAAAGCCUCUAAGCAUCAGGUAACACGAAAUCGUACCCCAAACCGACACAGGUGGUCAGGUAGAGAAUACCAAGGCGCUUGAGAGAACUCGGGUGAAGGAACUAGGCAAAAUGGUGCCGUAACUUCGGGAGAAGGCACGCUGACACGUAGGUGAAGUGAUUUACUCAUGGAGCUGAAGUCAGUCGAAGAUACCAGCUGGCUGCAACUGUUUAUUAAAAACACAGCACUGUGCAAACACGAAAGUGGACGUAUACGGUGUGACGCCUGCCCGGUGCCGGAAGGUUAAUUGAUGGGGUCAGCGUAAGCGAAGCUCCUGAUCGAAGCCCCGGUAAACGGCGGCCGUAACUAUAACGGUCCUAAGGUAGCGAAAUUCCUUGUCGGGUAAGUUCCGACCUGCACGAAUGGCGUAAUGAUGGCCAGGCUGUCUCC